CAGGGAAUAUUGCGCAAUGGGCGAAAGCCUCACGCAGCGACGCCGCGUGAGGGAUGAAGGCCUUCGGGUCGUAAACCUCUUUCAGUGGAGAAGAAGCGAAAGUGACGGUAUCCACAGAAGAAGCCCCGGCCAACUACGUGCCAGCAGCCGCGGUAAUACGUAGGGGGCAAGCGUUGUCCGGAUUUAUUGGGCGUAAAGGGCUCGUAGGCGGCUUAGUAAGUCGGUCGUGAAAUACCGGGGCUCAACCCCGGGAUGUCGAUCGAAACUGCUAUAGCUUGGGUCCGGUAGAGGAGAAUGGAAUUCCCGGUGUAGCGGUGAAAUGCGCAGAUAUCGGGAGGAACACCAACAGCGAAGGCAGUUCUCUGGGCCGGUACCGACGCUGAGGCGCGAUAGCGUGGGGAGCAAACAGGAUUAGAUACCCUGGUAGUCCACGCCGUAAACGAUGGGUACUAGGCGCCGGGGGGAGCGACCCCUUCGGUGCCGUCGCUAACGCAAUAAGUACCCCGCCUGGGGAGUACGGCCGCAAGGCUG
rnacentral:rRNA from 1 species